rnacentral:rRNA from 1 species
GCUUCUUUUUCCACCGGAGCUUGCUCCACCGGAAAAAGAGGAGUGGCGAACGGGUGAGUAACACGUGGGUAACCUGCCCAUCAGAAGGGGAUAACACUUGGAAACAGGUGCUAAUACCGUAUAACAAUCAAAACCGCAUGGUUUUGAUUUGAAAGGCGCUUUCGGGUGUCGCUGAUGGAUGGACCCGCGGUGCAUUAGCUAGUUGGUGAGGUAACGGCUCACCAAGGCCACGAUGCAUAGCCGACCUGAGAGGGUGAUCGGCCACAUUGGGACUGAGACACGGCCCAAACUCCUACGGGAGGCAGCAGUAGGGAAUCUUCGGCAAUGGACGAAAGUCUGACCGAGCAACGCCGCGUGAGUGAAGAAGGUUUUCGGAUCGUAAAACUCUGUUGUUAGAGAAGAACAAGGAUGAGAGUAACUGUUCAUCCCUUGACGGUAUCUAACCAGAAAGCCACGGCUAACUACGUGCCAGCAGCCGCGGUAAUACGUAGGUGGCAAGCGUUGUCCGGAUUUAUUGGGCGUAAAGCGAGCGCAGGCGGUUUCUUAAGUCUGAUGUGAAAG